GACGAUGGGGUUUUCUAGAUAUUAGAUCAUGUUGUCUGCAAACAGAGACUGUUUGACUUCCUCGCUUCCUAUUUGGAUGCCCUUUAUUUCUUUCUCUUCUUAAUUGCCCUUGCCAGGUCUUCCAGCACUAUGAUGAAUAGGUGUGGUGAGCGGGGGCAUCCUUGUCUUGUGCCAGUUUUGAAGGAGAAUGCUUCCAGCUUUUGCCCAUUCAGUAUGAUGCCAGUUGUGGAUUUGUCUUAUACGGUUCUUACUAUUUUGAGGCAGUGUUGGUCUGCAAGCUUCAAGAGCCAGUGACCCUGACUGCCAAGUGAUUUGCCGAAGGGAAUUAUGGUUUUGCAUUUGAUGGUUUCCAGGAACUGCUAAGAGUGAGAUCAUCCCUGAAGCAGUGACUGCCAGAGGAAGGCGAGAGACAUAUGGUGGCCUUACAGAAUCUCAGAGGAAUGUCAAGCACAAAGAGAAUUUCAGAAAAGAAGGAAGCCAAUGGGACAAU
rnacentral:lncRNA from 10 species